GGGGCUGUAGCUCAAUCUGGGAGAGCACUAGACUGAAGAUCUAGGUGUUCGGGGUUCAAAUCCCCGCAGCCCCA
rnacentral:tRNA from 1 species